UUGUAUUCAUAUAAGGUCAAGGAGUGUAGUUGUAAAAAAUCAUCAAAAUCGGAGUCAAAUUAACCGUUAAAUCGUGAUUUUUCGUUUAUAACCGUCGAAAAGUUUUGUCCCGUUACGUGAUCUCUGAAUGUUUGUUUUUUGCAAUUUUUGGCGUAUGCGAUCUUGAAGUAUAUACAAACAUGUUUGACGGUUGGAUCAUUGAAACUAGUUUCGUAGAAUGAGUAUCCCAUCAAAACAAUAGAUUCACUAAUACGUAAUAGUUUAUUCAUACUUUUAUUAAGUAUAAUAUAAGAUUUUGUGGUUUCCACUAGUGUAAAUAUUUUAAAUUGAAGAUCGAAUUCAAUCAUUGUAUUCAUAUAAGGUCAAGGAGUGUAGCUGCAAAAAAAUCAUCAAAAUCAGAGUUAAAAUGACCGUUAAAUCGGUCAAGGAGUGUAGUUGUAAAAAAUCAUCAAAAAUCGGAGUUAAAAUGACCGUUAAAUCGUGAUUUUUCGUUUAUAACCGUCGAAAAGUUUUGUCCCGUUACUUGAUCUCUGAAUGUUUGUUUUUUGCAAUUUUUGGCGUAUGCAAUCUCGAAGUAUAUAUAAACAUGUUUGACAGGUUGGAUCAUUGAAACUAGUUUCGUAGAAUGAGUAUCCCAUCAAAACAAUAGAUUCACUAAUACUUUAAUAGUUUAUUCAUACUUUUAUUAAGUAUAGUAUAAGAUUUUGUGGUAUCCACUAGUGUAA
rnacentral:sRNA from 1 species